AUGAUACGCGAGGAACUUUACCCGGGCUCAAACGUUGCAGGAAGGGUGUCUGAAAGGAUGCCCGUCUACGGACCUGCGACGAGGUGCUGCAUGGUUGUCGUCAGCUCGUGCCGUGAGGUGUCGGCUUAAGUGCCAUAACGAGCGCAACCCCUACCGCCAGUUGCCAACAGGCAAAGCUGGGGACUCUGGCGGGACUGCCGGCGCAAGCUGCGAGGAAGGCGGGGAUGACGUCAAAUCAGCACGGCCCUUACGUCCGGGGCGACACACGUGUUACAAUGGCAGGUACAGCGGGAAGCCACCUGGCGACAGGGAGCGGAACCCGAAAGCCUGUCUCAGUUCGGAUUGGAGUCUGCAACCCGACUCCAUGAAGCUGGAUUCGCUAGUAAUCGCGCAUCAGCCACGGCGCGGUGAAUACGUUCCCGGGCCUUGUACACACCGCCCGUCAAGCCAUGGGAGUCGGGAGUGCCUGAAGUGCGUGAGCGCGAGCAGCGCCCUAGGGCAAAACCGAUGACUGGGGCUAAGUCGUAACAAGGUAGCCGU
rnacentral:rRNA from 1 species